rnacentral:rRNA from 1 species
GUGAAGAAGGCCUUCGGGUUGUAAAGCACUUUCAGUAGGGAGGAAGGUAGUGUAGUUAACACCUGCACUAUUUGACGUUACCUACAGAAGAAGCACCGGCUAACUCCGUGCCAGCAGCCGCGGUAAUACGGAGGGUGCGAGCGUUAAUCGGAAUUACUGGGCGUAAAGCGCAUGCAGGCGGCCUGUUAAGUCAGAUGUGAAAGCCCGGGGCGUUAACCCUCGGAAUUGCAUUUGUAAACUAGGCAGGCUAGAGUCUUGUAGAGGGGGGUAGGAAUUUCAGGUGUAGCGGUGAAAUGCGUAGAGAUCUGAAGGAAUACCAGUGGCGAAGGCGGCCCCCUGGACAAAGACUGACGCUCAGAUGCGAAAGCGUGGGGAGCAAACAGGAUUAGAUACCCUGGUAG